CAAUAGCGUAUAUUAAAGUUGUUGCGGUAAAAAAGCUCGUAGUUGGAUUUCUACCGAAGAUAGCCGGUCGGGUCUUCGACCUUGUAUCUGGUUUCGUCUUUGGUAUCCUCAUAGGGAACGUUUCUGCGCUUUAUUGCGUGGUGCGGUAUCUAUGACUUUUACUUUGAGGAAAUUAGAGUGUUCACGGCAGGCAAACGCCUUGAAUAUAUUAGCAUGGAAUAAUAACAUAGGAUCUUCGUCCUAUUUUGUUGGUUUCUAGGGCUAAGAUAAUGAUUAAUAGGGAUAAUUGGGGGCAUCUGUAUCAACGCGUCAGAGGUGGAAUUCUUGGAUUGCGUUGCGACAAACUACUGCGAAAGCAUUUGCCAAGGAUGUUUUCAUUGA
rnacentral:rRNA from 1 species